GAAGAUGAUGAAAAUGAAGUAAAGUUGAAAGCUGGGAAUGGUACCUGGAAGUACUCUGGGCAGUAGGGCUAGCAGUAGGAGCUGAGGAGGUGGGAAGAGAGGGGAGAGAACAGGGGUGAGUAGAGGGGAGAGGACAGGGGUGAGUAGAAGGUAGAGGGCAGGGGUGAGUUAAGGCGAGAGGGCAUGGGGGACUAGAGGGGUGAGUAGAGGGGAGAGGAUAGGGAUGAGUAGAGGGGAGAGGACAGGGGUGAGUAGAAUGGAGAGGAUAGGGUCUAGUAGAGGGGUGAAUAGAGGGGAGAUGACAGAGGUGAGUAGAGGGGAGAGGACGGGUGAGUAGAGGGGAGAUGGCAGGGGUGAGUAGAGGGGAGAGGACAGAGGUGAGUAGAGGGGAGAGGACAGAGGUGAGUAGAAGGGAGAGGACAGGGGUGAGUAGAGGGGAGAUGGCAGGGGUGAGUAUAGGGGAGAUGGAAGGGGUUAGUAGAGGGGAGAUGGCAGGGUGUAUAGAGGGAUGAGUAGAGGGGAGAGAACAGGGGUCAGUAGAGGGCAGACACAGGACAGGGAUGAGUAGAGUGGUGAGUAGAUGGGAGAUAGCAGGCAUGAGUAGAGGGGAGACGACAGGGUUGAGUAUAGGGGAGAGUAGAGGGGAAAGGGCAGGGGUGAGUAGAGGGGAGAGGGCAGGCAUGAGUAGAGGGGACAGGACAGGGGUGAGGAGAAGGGAGAGGACGGGUGAGUAGAGGGGAGAGGACAGAGUUGAGUAGAGGGCAGAGGACAGGGGUGAGUAGAGGAGAGAGGACAGGGGAGAGGGCAGGGUUGAGUAGAGGGGUGAGUAGAGCGGAGGGGGCAGGGGUGAGUAAAGGGGAGAGAACAGGGCUGAC
rnacentral:lncRNA from 1 species